UACUGUUCGCGAUCUCCUUGGCAACGACGAACCGAGGAGGCGACAGAGUCCCAGCAGCGCGGUGGUGGUACGACAGCGCGAGGAUAAGAGGCGCCGGGAGGUGCCGAGCCGCGACUGCUCCUGGCUUCCCUAGGGGCGGUGACGAAGGAGGUGGGUCGCCGUUCUCGACACGGGCGAGAAGUGAUACGGCCGUGUGGUGCGACGAGUCUAGGUAGUACCACCUUUGGGCUAUGUCCACCGGAAGGAAGUCUAGAAAAAACCAAAGACAGUUUAAACAGUCGACGAGUCUCCUCUCCUUCACUCAUCUUAUGCAUCCCUUUUUCUUCUUCCUUUGUUGUCAGAACGUUCGAUUAUUUCUUUGUCAUCGAACGAGUGUUUUAAAGGUACUCACCAUUGCGAAGAGAAGUGUGUAUAUUAGACUAAAAGUGGUGAUUAUUAAUCUUUGAUGUCCUAACAUCUGUGUCUCAGUAGUGUAAGCAAUUGUUCACUAAAUAAACUCUCCUUGUGUUCACUUAAAAUGGAAUCAAUACGGUCAAGAUAAAAGAAAGUCUUUUAGGAAAAAUACCUAACUACCACCCUGAACCCUAAUUUGUAUAUGUACACACCUUCGAAGAGAAACGUAUUAAAACAAUGACUACGUAGAUAUAAAAAGGAGAAUUGAACCCCGAGAAAAUUUUUCCUUCGUGGAGUACACACUCUUAACCAACAUAAAUGAUAAAAGAUAUGUUGGACUUACAUGAUCUUCCUAGUUGUAAGUACUUUGAUAUUGGUCGGUAUCAUUAGAACGAUAACUAUAUAUGUGUGACUUUCAGAUUUCUGUACGAUCAUUUUCGAUGAAAGAAACUUUCGUCGUUAUGGUAAAUAUAAGUUACCCUGACGGUAACGGCGUGGAAACUAACGAAAAAUUAGAACGAUAUGUAUAUAUGUGUGACCUUCAGACUUUUAUACGACCGUUUUCGAUGAACGAAACUUUCGUCGUUAUUCCAAAUAUAAGUCGCCCUGACGUUAACACUGUGGAAUAUCGAUGUUGAGGAGAACUUUAACUUAACACUUUCCUACACAGUAUAACCUUCACUUUGACACACGUACAUUCGAGAUUAGUUCGAGAAGGCCACUUUAAGUUGAAAAAAAAUGCUGUAUCAUUGUGUCAAUAUAAACUACCGGUACUUCCGUAGUUGUGUUUGUGCACAAAAAUUAAGUGAGUAAAUAACAUACCAAAACUUAGUACAAUCUGCGUAGGGUCAAAACCUUAACUUGACAGAUUUGUAUGUCUGUGGAUAAUAGUACGAUCGUGUGUCAAAACCGGCUUGCUGAGGUGGCCGCUGGUGGUAGGAGGCACCUUGCGGAAGGGAGUAGCGCUCGAUCGCAUGAGAGGCUCGUCCGGAGGAGGGCCGUUCGAAGUGGCUCGUGGUUGGACGCCCAGGUGUAGGAGGUGCAGGAGACGUUACUUCGUUGUCUCGUAGAUGGGAGGCCUUGCAAGAAGGGGACCUAGUUAUCGCGACGGAGGAAAAGGGGAAAUAAACAAUCCAAAGGGAUGUCUUCAACUACCCCCAAAGCUUCUAGAAGUUCGACGACUUCUAAACCCUCUAAGUCUUCUAGAAAUUCGACGACUUCUAUACCUUCUCACUAAUACGAAACAAACACCUUGGAUAUGUGAACGAGACGAGUAAAACGGCCAACAAUCCGGUGUUAUACGAGUAAAACCAACACACCGUGGGGUCUUUGUAUACAAGAAAACACCGUGUGUACAUCUUUGUAUAUACACAACAUGGAAAACACCGUGUUGGACGAAUAUAUAUAUACCAACAAUACAAUUAAAUAGCUUAACUGAAAUUCCAAAUCCUCACUUCACAUACUUACUCUGUACAAUGAAACUAACUUCACAU
rnacentral:rRNA from 1 species